rnacentral:rRNA from 1 species
GAUGAACGCUGGCGGCGUGCUUAACACAUGCAAGUCGAACGGAAAGGCCCAAGCUUGCUUGGGUACUCGAGUGGCGAACGGGUGAGUAACACGUGGGUGAUCUGCCCUGCACUUCGGGAUAAGCCUGGGAAACUGGGUCUAAUACCGGAUAGGACCACUUCUUGGAUGUUGUGGUGGAAAGUUUUUUCGGUGUGGGAUGAGCUCGCGGCCUAUCCGCUUGUUGUUGGGGUAAUGGCCUACCAAGGCGUCGGCGGGUAGCCGGACUGAGAGGGUGUACGGCGGCAUUGGGACUGAGAGGCGGCAGAGACGGCGAAGGGAGGAAGAUGGGGGGAAGAUUGAACAAGGGGCGCAGGGCGGAUGCAGAGGGUCUGCGGAGGGGAAGACGGUCUUAGGGGGGAAGAAGCCAUGCGCUAGGGACGAAGCGUUUUGUGACGGUACCUGGAGAAGAAGCACCGGCUAACUACGUG